ensembl:ncRNA lncRNA:CR46199 long non-coding RNA:CR46199
GGAAUUUGUAGGUCAGGUUAUCGUUUGCUCACUUGAUGCUUGGGCAACAUCUUUUCGAUGAAGGCUUAUUAUAAAUUGGAGUGACAUGUGUGGGAGCUAUAAAAAGCUGUGAAAAUUUGAGGAAUAAAACAUUUUAGAAAACAAAAAACCCAACUAUUGGAACAUAAAAGGGAGUGACCCCGGUGAUCUCGGAAUCAUUCCAAGGUGGCCAACAGGUUAUGCAGCGGGUUUGUAGCGAAAGUGAACAGCAUUUGACUGGCAACCCGGGCAAAUUUAUGUUGGAGAGUCCAACACAAAGGGGCGGACAGUCCGUUCUUGUCAAGUGCAGUGAGUGAAUGAAGGAAGGAAUCCCACUUGGCCAAGACGGCCACACCUCCGUGGGAUCUGCGGACUGCGUGGGCUGUCUGGCGAUAAGAGGCACUUGUCUUGGCCGUAAUGGAUUAUUCGAAAUUUUUCACGUGUCUGUCUGCCUGCCCUGCGGUUAACGCUCAACACAUUCCAAGUCCUACACACGUGGCAAAUAUUAAUUUACUCACCAUUUUUCGGGGCACUCUUGGCUUAAAUAAGCGCUUCAUUCUAUUUACGGCGACUCCAACUAUGUAUGUAGUAUGUAUGUAUGUAUAUGGCUGGGGCACAUUUUGCAGCGGAUAUAGUCAUGUCAGCUGCCUAUAAAUAACCCCAGCCUGACAUCAAAUAAUCAUGAAGGUGUC